rnacentral:rRNA from 2 species
AGUGACGAUAGCCUAGGAGAUACACCUGUACCCAUGCCGAACACAGCAGUUAAGCCCUAGAACGCCGGAAGUAGUUGGGGGUUGCCCCCUGUGAGAUAUGGAAGUCGCU